rnacentral:rRNA from 1 species
GAUCCUGGCUCAGGAUGAACGCUAGCUACAGGCUUAACACAUGCAAGUCGAGGGGCAGCAUGGUCUUAGCUUGCUAAGGCCGAUGGCGACCGGCGCACGGGUGAGUAACGCGUAUCCAACCUGCCUUACACUCUUGGACAGCCUUCUGAAAGGGAGAUUAAUACAAGAUGUUAUCAUGAGUAAGCAUUUUCACAUGAUUAAAGGUUUACCGGUGUAAGAUGGGGAGUGCGUUCCAUUAG